AACACGAGAGACGCCGCACUAUAGGCCACCUAGGCCACUACAGUACCACGAACAAGACGCGUUAAUUAUAAUAAAUCUAAAAAUGUCAUACAAUUUAAAGGAAUGAGUGAGAGGAAAUCGGAUAAGGACGCAGACCCGAGUUUGAAAUGUUUGGCGACCGAUCAAAUGAGUUAUUUGACGAUAAAUACUGGAGCUAAGGUCACUUUAUUAUCAAGGGAAUUUGUAGACACCUUGGGCAGAUUCUCGUUCCGAUAUUGUGAUACAAGCUUAAAGAUACAAAGUGUCACCGAACACUUAACACGAACCUAUGGAAGGUACGAAUUUACCUUGCAGAUAGGUUCACUUGCGAUUUAGACACGCCUGUUACAUCGUAGAUCCGUAUAUAACUGCACCGAAUGAUGGUAUUUUAUGUCGCGACAUUAUUGUGAGACAGAAUUUAAU
rnacentral:lncRNA from 1 species